GCCCUGCUAACGGGGGCUCACCUUCCCUAAGCCUCGGCGGGGCCAGGAGGGCGAGGCAGGUUCUCUGCACUUCCCAAACUGGGAAACUGAGGGUCCGGGAGGGCGCUCGCCGGAACCCGGGUCCUACCUGGCACUGGGAGCCCGCUCACCCCGCCCCAGGAGCGUUUCACCUCCCUGUUCUUUGCAUGAUUCGCGCUAGCCAUGCAAAGCAUUGGGAGGUGAACCCGGCCCACUCAGCCUGUAAGUCACGACUGGAAUGUGUCGUCCUCCACACCACCCUCCAGGGCCUGUGUUUUCCAGGGUUCUGAGAAUGGACCCCAUUGUGACCAUGUGGCUUGUCCAGAGAGGCUGGAAUUCCUGCCCUGGGUGAAAAAGCUGAAUUCCUGCGGAGAGAAGGGGUCUCAGGCUCCCCAGGCUAUGUCCCAGAGAGGCCACAUGCUACAGACAUCACAGACCCCAGAACCCCCCGGCAUUUUGAUUGUCUCCUGAACAUCCCAGAGGGUCUCUGCUGCUGCUCUGUCCGUAGCGAAAGAACAAAGCACUGUCUGUCUGUC